AAAGGGCAGAAUUGGUACAUCAAAUUCAUUGGGCCUGACAAAUACUUUUAUUCUGGUCCAAAAAUAUGCCCAGACAUGGUGGGGUUAAAAGGCUGCAACACAAUGAGAUUUAUCUCAACCACAAGAGCAUAGCAUCUGGGCUGUCUAAGUAAAUAACAGUCAAGUUACUUGAAUAUCAGAGCGUCACGUCCAGGCCCAACACCAAUGUAAUGGACGGGUACACCAAUGAGUUCUUCUAUCCUCUCCACAUAUUGACGUGCAGCCUUCGGAAGCUCUGAGUAGUUUCUAAUGGAAGAAAUAUCACUCUUCCAUCCAGGUAAAACCUCAUAUUCAACCUUCAAUUGUUCAAGCAGACGAAGAUCAGCUGGGAAUGAUUUAAUAGGAGUACCAUCCAUUUGUUUAUAAGCAACUCCCAACUGAAUUUCAGGAAGAUCAGAUAAAACAUCAAGUUUGGUGAGAUUCAAAGAAGAAAAGCCAUUAAUCUGACAGCAGUACUUCAGUGCAACUAUAUCAAGCCAACCACAACGUCGAGGACGGCCCGUUGUGGUUCCAAACUCCUGCCCAGCAAACCUAAGUAGGUCACCCCCAUG
rnacentral:misc_RNA from 1 species